AACUUUUAACAACGGAUCUCUUGGUUCUCGCAUCGAUGAAGAACGCAGCAAAGUGCGAUAACUAGUGUGAAUUGCAUAUUCAGUGAAUCAUCGAGUCUUUGAACGCAACUUGCGCUCAUUGGUAUUCCAAUGAGCACGCCUGUUUCAGUA
rnacentral:rRNA from 1 species